rnacentral:rRNA from 1 species
ACGAACGCUUGCGGCGUGCUUCACACAUGCAAGUCGAACGGAAAGGCCCUGCUUUUGUGGGGUGCUCGAGUGGCGAACGGGUGAGUAACACGUGAGUAACCUGCCCUUGACUUUGGGAUAACUUCAGGAAACUGGGGCUAAUACCGGAUAGGAGCUCCUGCUGCAUGGUGGGGGUUGGAAAGUUUCGGCGGUUGGGGAUGGACUCGCGGCUUAUCAGCUUGUUGGUGGGGUAGUGGCUUACCAAGGCUUUGACGGGUAGCCGGCCUGAGAGGGCGACCGGCCACAUUGGGACUGAGAUACGGCCCAGACUCCUACGGGAGGCAGCAGUGGGGAAUAUUGCACAAUGGGCGGAAGCCUGAUGCAGCAACGCCGCGUGCGGGAUGACGGCCUUCGGGUUGUAAACCGCUUUCGCCUGUGGCGAAGCGUGAGUGACGGUAAUGGGUAAAGAAGCACCGGCUAACUACGUG